CCUACGGGUGUCAGCAGUGGGGAAUAUUGGACAAUGGGCGAAAGCCUGAUCCAGCCAUGCCGCGUGUGUGAAGAAGGCCUUCGGGUUGUAAAGCACUUUCAGUGGGGAAGAAAGCCUUGGGGCUAAUACCCUCGAGGAAGGACAUCACCCACAGAAGAAGCACCGGCUAACCCCGUGCCAGCAGCCGCGGUAAUACGGAGGGUGCGAGCGUUAAUCGGAAUUACUGGGCGUAAAGCGCGCGUAGGCGGUCUGAUAAGCCGGUUGUGAAAGCCCCGGGCUCAACCUGGGAACGGCAUCCGGAACUGUCAGGCUAGAGUGCAGGAGAGGAAGGUAGAAUUCCCGGUGUAGCGGUGAAAUGCGUAGAGAUCGGGAGGAAUACCAGUGGCGAAGGCGGCCUUCUGGACUGACACUGACGCUGAGGUGCGAAAGCGUGGGUAGCAAACAGGAUUAGAUACCCCUGUAGUC
rnacentral:rRNA from 1 species